UUAGUUGUCUUAAUAUUUAAUUUUAAAAAAAAUUAAAAUAAAAAAUAUUAAUCCAUAGUUUUGGUCCCUAAAAUUGUGUCAUUGGCGUUACCUAAAAUCCAAUUGUUAUUGGGAUACCUAAAGUCCAGUUGUCACUGUAAGACCCCAAUUUUGACCAUAAGAUUUCUCAUGCAAUUUCAUCAUAAGCAUUAGCAUUGGGAUCAUAUCUUGG
rnacentral:lncRNA from 1 species